CUGUGCCCGUCCGUGGGGGUCAUACGAGGACAGCGUGUGUGUGAGAAGUGGCACCCGCAGGCCUGCGUGGGUGACGCACCGACGCGGCUCUCAGCGGGAGACCGGCCCCCUCUCCCCACUGUGCUCUGGCUCUGCACCGCCCCGCCGCGCUCUCCCUUCUCCUGGCCGGGGUCCCCCAUCCGAGGCCUUGUGAGUGGAUGCAGCUGCUCCCUCCACUUUUGGGUCUCAUCGCAGGGUCCGGAGGUGGGAGGACAGCAGUGUCCGCGGCUCCCGCAGCUCCGGAGGAGCCUCCAGGUGUCAGCCCCUCGAGGCCAGGAAGGCUCGUGGACCCCACAGCACCUGCACGGACCCCUCCGCCCGUGUCCAUGCACCCUUCUCACCCUUGCUUUCUUCCGGCCUCCCCCACACAGGGGGCUCACGGCCUCGGCCUCCCUCUUCUUCUCUGCUCCCUACCCUGGCUUUGUUCCAUGCCCAGGCUGCUUACUGAAUUCCUAAUUGAAAAGAUAAUAAAAAAGCCAAUGAAGCAAAAGCCGCA
rnacentral:lncRNA from 1 species